rnacentral:rRNA from 1 species
UGAGGAAUUUUGCGCAAUGGGGGAAACCCUGACGCAGCGACGCCGCGUGGAGGACGAAGGCCUUCGGGUCGUAAACUCCUGUCAAGAGGGACGAAUCCCCAACAGAUGAAUAAGCUGGUGGGUUGACGGUACCUCUGAAGGAAGCCCCGGCUAACUCCGUGCCAGCAGCCGCGGUAAUACGGAGGGGGCAAGCGUUGUUCGGAAUUAUUGGGCGUAAAGGGCACGCAGGCGGCUAGGCAAGUUGGUGGUGAAAGCCCUCGGCUCAACCGAGGAAUUGCCCCCAAAAACUGCCUGGCUUGAGUCCCGGAGAGGGUGACGGAAUUCCCAGUGUAGCGGUGAAAUGCGUAGAU